GAUGAAGAACGUAGCGAAAUGCGAUAAGUAAUGUGAAUUGCAGAAUUCAGUGAAUCAUCGAAUCUUUGAACGCACAUUGCGCCCGCCAGUAUUCUGGCGGGCAUGCCUGUUCGAGCGUCAUUACAACCCUCAGGCCCCCGGGCCUGGCGUUGGGGAUCGGCGGAAGCCCCCUGCGGGCACAACGCCGUCCCCCAAAUACAGUGGCGGUCCCGCCGCAGCUUCCAUUGCGUAGUAGCUAACACCUCGCAACUGGAGAGCGGCGCGGCCACGCCGUAAAACACCCAACUUCUGAAUGUUGACUUCGAAUCAGGUAGGAAUACCCGCUGAACUUAAGCAUAUCAAUAAGCGGAGGA
rnacentral:misc_RNA from 1 species